ACAUGCCUACAACAUAGUGUUAAUGCACCAGAUCCCAUUAGAACUUCACAGUUAAGCGUGCUCAGGAUGGAGUAGUACUGGGAUGGGUGACUGCCUGAAAAGUCCUAGUAUUUUACAUGCC
rfam:Picea glauca, whole genome shotgun sequence.